rnacentral:misc_RNA from 1 species
UGGUUCUGGCAUCGAUGAAGAACGCAGCGAAAUGCGAUAAGUAAUGUGAAUUGCAGAAUUCAGUGAAUCAUCGAAUCUUUGAACGCACAUUGCGCCUGCUAGUAUUCUGGCAGGCAUGCCUGUUCGAGCGUCAUUUCAACCCUCAGGCCCCUCGUGGUCUGGCGUUGGGGCUGCUCUGCGGCGUUUUCGCCGCAGGCCCUGAAGAACAGUGGCGGGCCCGCUGAGACCCCGAGCGUAGUAGAACACACCUCGCUAAGGGAGCCUCGGCGGGAUCCUAGCCGUAAAAAAAGGCUGCCGGAGCCUCUCCUGCACCAUAUUUUUACAAGGUUGACCUCGGAUCAGGUAGGAAUACCCGCUGA